UGAUAAAUCACAUUUCCAUUGAUGCUUUUUCGGGCAAAAUCAUGAGAUUCAGGUAAUUUAUAGGCCCAGAGAAAGUUAAUUUACAAAAAUAAGUGUGAAUUUGGAAAAGAAUGAGGUUAAUUUACAAAAAUUUUAGAAAAUUUUUGGAUUCUAGAAAAUUUUUUUGGAUAAAUGGAGAAAAUUGCUGAUGUCCGGAAAAAUUUUUUUACGUCACGGAAAAUUUUGGUAUGUCCGGAAAAAAUUUUUGACCUCUAAAAUGGUACACUGACCGAAAAUUUUUUGGCGACGGGGNNNNNNNNNNNNNNNNNNNNGGGGGGGGGAGGUCGCCCAGAAAAAAAUUAAUGUAAAAAAAAAUUUUUCAGGUAAAUUUCGAACUUUUGAUCUAUAGGGGUGCCCUGUAUUCCUUCCUCGCAUCCAAUAACUUUAUCCGGCGAACACGGCAUACAAAAGGGCUUCACCCCUAACCUAUCUGGCACUCUAGAACACACUGCGCAAAUGGCUACGCGCUGUUGUCAUCACCUUACUUGAUCUGAAGAAUGCUUUCGGCGAAGUCCAUCAUAAUCUCAUCCAAUCAGUACUCGACUACCAUCACAUCCCAGAACACAUAAAAUAUCAAAUGCCGGCUCCAGGGGCGGACAUAUCGAUUUUGACUGGGAGGGUGUAGUCACGAAAUGAGACCGA
rnacentral:lncRNA from 1 species